rnacentral:rRNA from 1 species
GAACGGGUGAGUAACACGUGGGCAACCUGCCCAAAAGAGGGGGAUAACACUUGGAAACAGGUGCUAAUACCGCAUAACCAUAGUUACCGCAUGGUAACUAUGUAAAAGGUGGCUAUGCUACCGCUUUUGGAUGGGUCCGCGGCGCAUUAGCUAGUUGGUGGGGUAAAGGCUUACCAAGGCAAUGAUGCGUAGCCGAACUGAGGGGUUGAUCGGCCACAUUGGGACUGAGACACGGCCCAAACUCCUACGGGAGGCAGCAGUAGGGAAUCUUCCACAAUGGGCGAAAGCCUGAUGGAGCAACGCCGCGUGGGUGAAGAAGGUCUUCGGAUCGUAAAACCCUGUUGUUAGAGAAGAAAGUGCGUGAGAGUAACUGUUCACGUUUCGACGGUAUCUAACCAGAAAGCCACGGCUAACUACGUGCCAGCAGCCGCGGUAAUACGUAGGUGGCAAGCGUUAUCCGGAUUUAUUGGGCGUAAAGGGAACGCAGGCGGUCUUUUAAGUCUGAUGUGAAAGCCUUCGGCUUAACCGGAGUAGUGCAUUGGAAACUGGGAGACUUGAGUGCAGAAGAGGAGAGUGGAACUCCAUGUGUAGCGGUGAAAUGCGUAGAUAUAUGGAAGAACACCAGUGGCGAAAGCGGCUCUCUGGUCUGUAACUGACGCUGAGGUUCGAAAGCGUGGGUAGCAAACAGGAUUAGAUACCCUGGUAGUCCACGCCGUAAACGAUGAAUGCUAAGUGUUGGAGGGUUUCCGCCCUUCAGUGCUGCAGCUAACGCAA